GUGAAUCCGCGUAAGGGAUAGUAGUGAAAAUCCUCCCGAUUUUUCUCGGGAGAUUGCAACGGAUAGCCCGACCCGAC
rnacentral:sRNA from 1 species